GGAAGUGUGCCCGAGACAGGGAUUACCUUGAUAGAGUAAACACAGGAUUACAACCCUCACUUCCU
rnacentral:tRNA from 1 species